UGAUCCUGGACCCAGCUGACCCAACAGGGAACGUGGCUGGUUUGAACUCAGAGGGCUGGCGGCAGCUGGCUGAAGAGGCUGUAGCCUGUCUGCAAUACGCAUGCCUUAAGAGAUGGGAUGGUUGCCUAGGGGGAUCUUGGAAUGUGCCGACCGAAGUUCCUGUGCCAGUGAGCAAGCCAGUGUGUAACAAUAACAGACAGGGUCUCUCUGUGAAGAUGGAACUUGAAGGGUAUCCAGCAGGUCCACAGAGAUUCUCCUGUCGCUGCCUCAAGUACAGUCUGGGUUAGAGUGUUCAACUCUACUUCCGGGUCAAGGCUUCUGCAGAAUUUCCUGGUGGACCUCAACAAGGAAACUUCCUCCAACCUUCCGAGGUACCUACCUGUGGCCUCCUC